CGGUUAAGUGAAUAAGGGCGCACGGUGGAUGCCUUGGUACUAGGAGCCGAAGAAGGACGGAACUAACACCGAUAUGCUUUGGGGAGCUGUAAGUAAGCUAAGAUCCAAAGAUUUCCGAAUGGGGNNNNNNNNNNCUUUCAUAGGGUGUUACCAAUGAGUGAAUACAUAGCUCAUUAGGAGGUACACGCAGGGAACUGAAACAUCUCAUUACCUGCAGGAAGAGAAAGAAAAAUCGAUUCCCUGAGUAGCGGCGAGCGAAACGGGAGGAGCCCAAACCAACGAGCUUGCUUGUUGGGGUUGUAGGACUAGAACGUGAGAAGACAUCAAGAUAGCAGAAGUGGUCUGGAAAGGCCCAUCAAAGAAGGUGACAAUCCUGUACGCGACAUCUUGACGAACUCUACUAGCAUCCUGAGUACGGCGGGACACGAGGAAUCCCGUCGGAAUCCGCCAGGACCAUCUGGCAAGGCUAAAUACUACCUAGUGACCGAUAGU
rnacentral:rRNA from 1 species